CAUUCCUACGGGGCGCAGCAGUGGGGAAUAUUGGGCAAUGGGCGCAAGCCUGACCCAGCAACGCCGCGUGAAGGAAGAAGGCUUUCGGGUUGUAAACUUCUUUUAAGAGGGAAGAGAAGAAGACGGUACCUCUUGAAUAAGCUCCGGCUAACUACGUGCCAGCAGCCGCGGUAAUACGUAGGGAGCAAGCGUUAUCCGGAUUUACUGGGUGUAAAGGGCGCGUAGGCGGGAUGGCAAGUCAGAUGUGAAAUCCAGGGGCUCAACCCCUGAACUGCAUUUGAAACUGUCGUUCUUGAGUACUGGAG
rnacentral:rRNA from 1 species